rnacentral:rRNA from 1 species
GAUGAACGCUGGCGGCGUGCCUAAUACAUGCAAGUCGAGCGAACAGACGAGGAGCUUGCUCCUCUGACGUUAGCGGCGGACGGGUGAGUAACACGUGGAUAACCUACCUAUAAGACUGGGAUAACUUCGGGAAACCGGAGCUAAUACCGGAUAAUAUAUUGAACCGCAUGGUUCAAUAGUGAAAGACGGUUUUGCUGUCACUUAUAGAUGGAUCCGCGCCGCAUUAGCUAGUUGGUAAGGUAACGGCUUACCAAGGCAACGAUGCGUAGCCGACCUGAGAGGGUGAUCGGCCACACCGGAACUGAGACACGGUCCAGACUCCUACGGGAGGCAGCAGUAGGGAAUCUUCCGCAAUGGGCGAAAGCUUGACGGAGCAACGCCGCGUGAGUGAUGAAGGUCUUCGGAUCGUAAAACUCUGUUAUUAGGGAAGAACAGAUGUGUAAGUAACUAUGCACGUCUUGACGGUACCUAAUCAGAAAGCCACGGCUAACUACGUG